CUGGUGUUGUACAGGGUUUGCAGCACACAAGCAAGAAGCACAGAAGACACAUUUUGCCCAUGUAAAGGGCAGGCCCAAAAUCUCCAGCAGCUGUGAAGGGCUCCCUGCUGCCAUUUACCCAUUCAGUACAGCUGCUCUGAUUAAAAUGCUUUUAAACAUCAGAAAGUGCUGGGCUUCCAGCCCUUUUCUGUCUUGAAUCAUGAGGACCUUACAGCAGAUUCCAGCAGGGAGAUGUGCAGCUCUCCAGGCUGUGCUCCAAUGAGCUGUCGCUGCCCUGGGACGAUGCUGUGCAGCACCAGGCUCCUGGCCCCAUCCCACCCAGUGCUCUGAUGCUUCUCCCACCAACAGGACUGGUCCCUGUCCCAGGAGAUGGUGCAGGAUCAUACCUCCAGCCCGGGGCCCAGCCAUUCCCAGAAAACACGGUGCUUGCCCGGGCUGUCCAUCCCAGGUUAACUGCUUGCAACAAAAAGCAAAUUCAGUUUUCUAAGUGGAUUCAGCAGGAGUCGCCACUCCUGAUGAUGAGAUGUGACCUGUUUUAAUCACUGCUGUCCACUGUCAGGUGAAAGUUCUGAAACGCAGCCGUGAGAUGAAUAGCAAUGACACGUUUUGGGCAGAGCACUGCAAAAUCAGGCUGCGAAAGACAGCGCUGGCAGAGGUGAUCCUGAGAGUGUCACCAGCCUCUGUCCUCGUGGUUUUCUCCAUUGGUACUUGCUGUAAUUCAUAUGGAAAAAAAAAAACAUGGAAUCACGGAAUGGCUCAGGUUAGAUGGGACCCUAAAGUCCACCCGGUUCCAACCCCUGCUGUGGGCAGGGACACCAUCCUCCAGCUCAGGCUGCCCAGGGCCCCAUCCAGCUUGGCCAGGAGCACCUCCAGGGAUGGGACACCCACAGCCUCCCUGGGCAACAAGAAACAUGAAUGGAAGUUGUGUGCGGGUGUGAGAAAGGCAGCUGGGCUCAGGCCCCCGCCCUGCUGAAUGUCAACACCCAUUUCAGUGACACUGUUGUGCUCUGACCUCUGCCUGGGUUUUGCUGGGACAUGGCUUCUCCACUCUUUGCACCUGGGAACAAACACCUUUGCAAAGGCAAUUUUAGGGAGAAUUAAAGGCUCAUCCGCCUUCCAUCUUAAUUCCUUGUCGUUUAGUUCUCUCAAUAUGAUUUCUACAGUACUGCUUUUGUGCUCAGUGCCUGCCAGCCACUCGAUUUGCCUUGACCUUUCAUGUCUGCACUCUGGCAGUAUUUGUUGUCUUUCUCGAUACUUGAGCUAUUAACAUGUGAAUUACAUCAACUGCUUUUAAUCUUACCUCUUUGUGGUAUUAUGGCAGCUCUGCAUAACACAACACAGUAGUGCAAUGAAUGGUUCAGCUCACUCACUGCGAUGGAAAUGUUUUGUAACUGUUGAUUUUCAUUUUUCUGACCUUUUUAUAAAGGAAUAUAAAAUGAUUAUAUUGAGCUGGCCCCUGCAUCUCCUGCAUGUGGGUGAACCUGAAGGCUGGCUGGAAGACAGCAGGGUAGGAGCUCUGUUUUGGGGCUCUGUUAGUAUUUGAUUUUAGAAUAAACUACAGUUUGGUUCCUUGACAACUAAGCAAUGAUUGGAUAUUAGGAAAAACUUCUUCUCUGAAAGAGUGGUGAGGGACCAGCACAGUUUGCUCAGGCAGGUGGUGGAGUCACCAUCCCUGGAGGUGUUCAAGAAGAGGGUGGAUGUGGCACUGAGGGACGUGGUUUAGUGGACAACAUUGAUGGUGGGUGGAGGGUUGGACAGGAUAAUCUUAGUGAUCUUUUCCAACCUCAAUGGUUCUGUGAUUCGAUGAUUCUAUGAAGGUGUGGAUGUCUUGAGAAGCCACUGUGUGUGUGGUUAAUUGUGGUGAUACAGAUUCCUGGUGGUGCAGACUGUGUUUCUGAAGAUGUCAGUAAGCAAACAAACCUGGUUCACACACCAUCAUCCUGUGCUCAAGGAUCACUGUAGAAGUGUCACCAGAAAAAAUCACACCAAAAAUAGAAAGAUCUUCUGCAUCAUCACAUCCUUCCCAAGGAACCAUCCAGCAG
ensembl:lncRNA